GAUGAACGCUGGCGGCGUGCUUAACACAUGCAAGUCGAACGAUGAAGCCCAGCUUGCUGGGUGGAUUAGUGGCGAACGGGUGAGUAACACGUGAGUAACCUGCCCUUAACUCUGGGAUAAGCCUGGGAAACUGGGUCUAAUACCGGAUAGGAGCGCCUACCGCAUGGUGGGUGUUGGAAAGAUUUAUCGGUUUUGGAUGGACUCGCGGCCUAUCAGCUUGUUGGUGAGGUAAUGGCUCACCAAGGCGACGACGGGUAGCCGGCCUGAGAGGGUGACCGGCCACACUGGGACUGAGACACGGCCCAGACUCCUACGGGAGGCAGCAGUGGGGUAUAUUGCACAAUGGGCGAAAGCCUGAUGCAGCGACGCCGCGUGAGGGAUGACGGCCUUCGGGUUGUAAACCUCUUUCAGUAGGGAAGAAGCGAAAGUGACGGUACCUGCAGAAGAAGCACCGGCUAACUACGUG
rnacentral:rRNA from 1 species